GACGAACGCUGGCGGCGUGCUUAACACAUACAAGUCGAACGGAAAGGCCCUGCUUUUGUGGGGUGCUCGAGUGGCGAACGGGUGAGUAACACGUGAGUAACCUGCCCUUGACUUUGGGAUAACUUCAGGAAACUGGGGCUAAUACCGGAUAGGAGCUCCUGCUGCAUGGUGGGGGUUGGAAAGUUUCGGCGGUUGGGGAUGGACUCGCGGCUUAUCAGCUUGUUGGUGGGGUAGUGGCUUACCAAGGCUUUGACGGGUAGCCGGCCUGAGAGGGUGACCGGCCACAUUGGGACUGAGAUACGGCCCAGACUCCUACGGGAGGCAGCAGUGGGGAAUAUUGCACAAUGGGCGGAAGCCGGAUGCAGCAACGCCGCGUGCGGGAUGACGGCCUUCGGGUUGUAAACCGCUUUCGCCUGUGACGAAGCGUGAGUGACGGUAAUGGGUAAAGAAGCACCGGCUAACUACGUG
rnacentral:rRNA from 1 species